rnacentral:rRNA from 1 species
AGGUAAGCUACUAAGAGCGAAUGGUGGAUGCCUUGACUGGUAAAGGCGAUGAAGGACGUACUAGACUGCGAUAAGCUACGGGGAGCUGUCAAGAAGCUUUGAUCCGUAGAUUUCCGAAUGGGGCAACCCAAUGUAUAGAGAUAUACAUUACCUAUAUAGGAGCGAACGAGGGGAAUUGAAACAUCUUAGUACCCUCAGGAAAAGAAAUCAAUAGAGAUUGCGUCAGUAGCGGCGAGCGAAAGCGCAAGAGGGCAAACCCAGUGCUUGCACUGGGGGUUGUAGGACUGCAAUGUGCAAGAGCUGAGUUUAGCAGAACAUUCUGGAAAGUAUAGCCAUAGAGGGUGAUAGUCCCGUAUGCGAAAAACAAAGCUUAGCUAGCAGUAUCCUGAGUAGGGCGGGACACGAGGAAUCCUGUCUGAAUCCGGGUCGACCACGAUCCAACCCUAAAUACUAAUACCAGAUCGAUAGUGCACAAGUACCGUGAGGGAAAGGUGAAAAGAACUGAGGUGAUCAGAGUGAAAUAGAACCUGAAACCAUUUGCUUACAAUCAUUCAGAGCACUAUGUAGCAAUACAGUGUGAUGGACUGCCUUUUGCAUAAUGAGCCUGCGAGUUGUGGUGUCUGGCAAGGUUAAGCAAACGCGAAGCCGUAGCGAAAGCGAGUCUGAAUAGGGCGCUUAGUCAGAUGCUGCAGACCCGAAACGAAGUGAUCUAUCCAUGAGCAAGUUGAAGCUAGUGUAAGAACUAGUGGAGGACUGAACCCAUAGGCGUUGAAAAGCCCCGGGAUGACUUGUGGAUAGGGGUGAAAGGCCAAUCAAACUUCGUGAUAGCUGGUUCUCUCCGAAAUAUAUUUAGGUAUAGCGUUGUGUCGUAAUAUAAGGGGGUAGAGCACUGAAUGGGCUAGGGCAUACACCAAUGUACCAAACCCUAUCAAACUCCGAAUACCUUAUAUGUAAUCACAGCAGUCAGGCGGCGAGUGAUAAAAUCCGUCGUCAAGAGGGAAACAACCCAGACUACCAGCUAAGGUCCCUAAAUCUUACUUAAGUGGAAAACGAUGUGAAGUUACUUAAACAACCAGGAGGUUGGCUUAGAAGCAGCCAUCCUUUAAAGAAAGCGUAAUAGCUCACUGGUCUAGUGAUUUUGCGCGGAAAAUAUAACGGGGCUAAAGUAAGUACCGAAGCUGUAGACUUGCACACAACUUAGAUUAUUUAAGUUUAGAAUAUAAAAAACUAAGUUAUAUGUUUUAAGUUAUAUUUUUACUGAUUUUUAUAGAGUAAAGAUAGAAAUAAAACUUAGUAAAAUCAGUAAAAAUAUUCUUGGUUUAAAGUUUAAGUAGUUUAAGUUGUGUGCAAGUGGUAGGAGAGCGUUCUAUUUGCGUCGAAGGUAUACCGGCAAGGAGUGCUGGAGCGAAUAGAAGUGAGCAUGCAGGCAUGAGUAGCGAUAAUUAAUGUGAGAAUCAUUAACGCCGUAAACCCAAGGUUUCCUACGCGAUGCUCGUCAUCGUAGGGUUAGUCGGGUCCUAAGUCGAGUCCGAAAGGGGUAGACGAUGGCAAAUUGGUUAAUAUUCCAAUACCAACAUUAGUGUGCGAUGGAAGGACGCUUAGGGCUAAGGGGGCUAGCGGAUGGAAGUGCUAGUCUAAGGUCGUAGGAGGUUAUACAGGCAAAUCCGUAUAACAAUACUCCGAGAACUGAAAGGCUUUUUGAAGUCUUCGGAUGGAUAGAAGAACCCCUGAUGCCGUCGAGCCAAGAAAAGUUUCUAAGUUUAGCUAAUGUUGCCCGUACCGUAAACCGACACAGGUGGGUGGGAUGAGUAUUCUAAGGCGCGUGGAAGAACUCUCUUUAAGGAACUCUGCAAAAUAGCACCGUAUCUUCGGUAUAAGGUGUGGUUAGCUUCGUACUAGGAUUUACUCCGAAAGCGAAGAAACUUACAACAAAGAGUCCCUCCCGACUGUUUACCAAAAACACAGCACUCUGCUAACUCGUAAGAGGAUGUAUAGGGUGUGACGCCUGCCCGGUGCUCGAAGGUUAAUUGAUGGGGUUAGCAUUAGCGAAGCUCUUGAUCGAAGCCCGAGUAAACGGCGGCCGUAACUAUAACGGUCCUAAGGUAGCGAAAUUCCUUGUCGGUUAAAUACCGACCUGCAUGAAUGGCGUAACGAGAUGGGAGCUGUCUCAAAGAGGGAUCCAGUGAAAUUGUAGUGGAGGUGAAAAUUCCUCCUACCCGCGGCAAGACGGAAAGACCCCGUGGACCUUUACUACAGCUUGACACUGCUACUUGGAUAAGAAUGUGCAGGAUAGGUGGGAGGCUUUGAGUAUAUGACGCCAGUUGUAUAUGAGCCGUUGUUGAGAUACCACUCUUUCUUAUUUGGGUAGCUAACCAGCUUGAGUUAUCCUCAAGUGGGACAAUGUCUGGUGGGUAGUUUGACUGGGGCGGUCGCCUCCCAAAUAAUAACGGAGGCUUACAAAGGUUGGCUCAGAACGGUUGGAAAUCGUUCGUAGAGUAUAAAGGUAUAAGCCAGCUUAACUGCAAGACAUACAAGUCAAGCAGAGACGAAAGUCGGUCUUAGUGAUCCGGUGGUUCUGUGUGGAAGGGCCAUCGCUCAAAGGAUAAAAGGUACCCCGGGGAUAACAGGCUGAUCUCCCCCAAGAGCUCACAUCGACGGGGAGGUUUGGCACCUCGAUGUCGGCUCAUCGCAUCCUGGGGCUGGAGCAGGUCCCAAGGGUAUGGCUGUUCGCCAUUUAAAGCGGUACGCGAGCUGGGUUCAGAACGUCGUGAGACAGUUCGGUCCCUAUCUGCCGUGGGCGUAAGAAGAUUGAAGAGAUUUGACCCUAGUACGAGAGGACCGGGUUGAACAAACCACUGGUGUAGCUGUUGUUCUGCCAAGAGCAUCGCAGCGUAGCUAAGUUUGGAAAGGAUAAACGCUGAAAGCAUCUAAGCGUGAAGCCAACUCUAAGAUGAAUCUUCUCUAAGCUCUCUAGAAGACUACUAGUUUGAUAGGCUGGGUGUGUAAUGGAUGAAAGUCCUUUAGCUGACCAGUACUAAUAGAGCGUUUGGCUUAUCUUU